rnacentral:rRNA from 1 species
UACAGAGGGUGCGAGCGUUAAUCGGAAUUACUGGGCGUAAAGCGCACGUAGUCGGCUUUGCAAGUCGGGUGUGAAAUCCCGAGGCUCAACCUCGGAACUGCCUUCGAUACUGCGGGUCUCGAGUCCGGGAGAGGUGAGUGGAAUUCCUAGUGUAGAGGUGAAAUUCGUAGAUAUUAGGAAGAACACCAGUGGCGAAGGCGGCUCACUGGCCCGGUACUGACGCUGAGGCGCGAAAGCGUGGGGAGCAAACAGG